CCUACGGGUGGCAGCAGUGGGGAAUAUUGCGCAAUGGGCGAAAGCCUGACGCAGCGACGCCGUGUGAGGGAUGAAGGUCUUCGGAUCGUAAACCUCUGUCAGCAGGGAAGAACGGUCACUGUGCUAAUCAGCAGUGAAUUGACGGUACCUGCACUGUAAGCACCGGCUAACUCCGUGCCAGCAGCCGCGGGAAUUCGGAGGGUGCGAGCGUUAAUUGGAAUUACUGGGCGUAAGGCGCUCGUAGGCGGUAUGGCAAGUCGAGGGUGAAAUGCCCGGGCUCAACGUGGGAACGGCCUUUGAAACUGGCAAACUGGAGUGUGUGAGAGGAUAGUGGAAUUCCAGGUGUAGGAGUGAAAUGCGUAGAUAUCUGGAGGAACAUCAGUGGCGAAGGCGACUAUCUGGCACAUAACUGACGCUGAGGAACGAAGGCGUGGGUAGCGAACGGGAUUAGAUACCCUUGUAGUC
rnacentral:rRNA from 1 species